GUGGCAUCAACUCUUAGAUGUGAGACAUGAAACCCAAAAGGACAUGAGAUGGGGCGCUAAGCCUCUAGGGAGUCUUAUACAUGAGUUGGUUUCUCAAGAGGCGCCAACAACUUAUGCGAGAGGGACUCUCAAAGGGGCGUCAAACAUCUUUGACAUCCUCUUCACAUGUCAACUCUUUGACAGGUCAAACUUUGACUAAUCAGAGUUAGUUAUGGCAUG
rnacentral:lncRNA from 1 species